rnacentral:RNase_P_RNA from 1 species
AAGGUAGAUCGGGUGAUCGUCCGUCCGUCAUAAUUAUGACGGACGGGAGGAAAGUCCGGGCUCUACAGGGCAGCGUAGCGGGUAAUACCCGUCUCCGUCCCCAACAGGGACGGACGGAUAAGAGCCACAGAGACGAGCAACCACGGAUCUCACGGAUUUUUUUAACACGGAUCUCACGGAUAAUAUCUGUGUAAUCUGUGAUUUUAAUCUGUGUAAUCUGUGGUGAUAUGAAACGAGGCAAUCUCUACGCGGAGCAAGGCCAAAUAGGGGAAGAGAGACGGCCCGUCUCACUAUCAUUCCCGGGUUGGCCGCUUGAUCCGUCCAGUAAUGGACGGACUAGACAAAUGAUCAUCACUCACCAAAGGCGAGAUAUAUUCCCGCCAGAGGCGGGAACAGGACCCGGCUUAUAGAUCUACCCCAGAA